AAGAAACAUGCUACCUCUCCUAAUCCAGAAAGUGAACUGUUUGGAGAAGGUGCCAUGAAGAUUCCUCCACAGGCCACACACUGCACCAGAAAAUCCAGAGUGAACUUUGGGAUGUGGUGAUUUGAACUGUGUGGGGUUGAAUACAUUUGUUUUGUAUGUAUACUCCUAUGCCCAAGGGGACUACUCCCUGAAUGACUUUUUGUCAAUGCACCUAGCAAUCAUUGGUUUUGUUCUCUUUUCCUUUUCUCCUUCAAUUAUUGUAAUUUCAAAGUUGGUUAUGUUUACAAGAUCCAUUGGAGAGACUAGUCUUCCAUGGAUCUCAGGGGAGAAUGUAUAAAUGAAAAUCUAUUACCCUAAAAAAAGAACUACAUUUCCUGGGAGCCAACUGACUUCCUAUCAUUAUGUACUUCCUGUAGACAGAAGAUAUUAGCAAGUGAGUGGUCCUCUUGGGCCUCUUUCUUGGGCUUGCAGCCAGCAUGGUGGAAGUGGUAACUAAGUGUUGGGAUUUUAAAUGGGCUAAUCAGCCAUGGGCACAUAGUCUUUAUUUUGCAUCUUCUUUAUUCCUUGAUUUCUAAUGAUCAUUAAUAAAUCCCUUAAAAUAUAAUAUUUCAUCAUUGAGAUCUAAUUUUAAUUUUUACAAGACUCUCACUCUUAAUCUGUAAUUAAAGAAAUAGAAUGAGUGUUUCCUAAAAGAGGAAUUUUAAGCUCUCAGGAACUAUAUGAAAAAAAACACUCCAAAUCAUUAAUAAUUAUAUACAAAUUAAAACAAAUCUGAGCUUCCACCUCACACCUAUCAGUCUGGCAGAGAUGACAAUUGCUAGAGUUGAUGCAGAAAAAUAGAUAGCCACAUGGGUACAUUGGUGACCAUGGAUAGGACCCACAAUCCCUAAAGUCACUAAACUGUGUAUAGUUUUUGACCCAAUAAUACCACCAGUGUGUUUAUUCUCCAAAGAGAUAAAAUAAAGAGGUAAAGUAGCAAUACAUACAAAAAAUGUUUAUAGUAGCUUUUUUGUUGAAGCAAAGAGCUAGAAAGGGAAUACCCUUCAACUGGGAAAUGGUUGGACAAACUAUGGCGAAUAAAUGUUGGAAUAAUUGGGCUCUCGGAAAGGACUAAAAAAGAUGAUUUGUACGAACUGGUACAGAGUGAAGUGAGAAGAGCUUAGGGAAUAAUUGAUGCAAUAAGAACAUUUUAAAGAAAAACAAGUUUGAAACAUUUAAGAAUUAUCUUCAAUGCAAUUACCACUCAUGAUUCUAGAGGACCAACGUAAAGCCUGCUAGCAACCUCAUGAAAAAACAAUGAGACCCAAAGUAUAGAAUGGUGAAAAUCUUUUUUUGACUUGGGAAAUGUGGAGAUUUGCUUAAUUCUGCUUAAUUUUUACAAGGACUGUUUUGUUGUCAUUUUUUAUUUGGAGAAAAUUUCAAGACUGGGGAGGGGAGCUAUCAAAAAUGUUACAAAAAAUAAAAGACGCCAUUAAAACACUGUUUGAAAUGCUCAAAAAGAAGGAAGUUCACAAAGAAAUACAGAGAAAAAAAAUGAUUGCUCACUACAAUGUAGCUGCUUAUACAAAGGAAAAACAGUGUGUUCCUUGAGGAGAAUGAAGAUCAGAAACUACAGCAGAUAGCAAAGAUGCUGACAAGCGAUUCAAUCUGGAUUAUACAUAUACAUUAUACAUCACGUAUGAUGUUUCCAUAUUGUUCAUUUUUGUAAAUGAGUAAUCUUCUAAAACCAAAACCCCCAAAUGUAAACCCAAAUAAACAACUGAAAAAAUCCUGUGCUUUCCUCUGCAUUCUGACUCCCAGUUCUUUCUCUGGAGGUAGAUAGCAUUCUUUGUCCUAAAUUUCCUCAGAAUUGUCCUGGAUCCUUGUAUUGCUGGUAACACCUAAGUUGAUUACAAUUGAUCAUGCCUCAAAAUUGCUGUUACUUUGUACAAUGCUUUCUUGGUUCUGCUUAUUUCCCUCUGCAUCAGCUCA